rnacentral:sRNA from 1 species
CCUAUUUAUUCCGGCGAUACUUCUCCAAUCGUAGUUGGCCAGGGAUAUCUUUGAAUGGGUGUUCACUAAUCCAUUUUUGCUUUUGUGGAGAUGGGAGGGGAUCGCGCUUUGAUAAAGCCAAAUGAAUGGAUGAGCCUUUAUAUGGCAUUGAGAGAAGUUCAUGAGGCAGAAGCUCAUGUCUGGCGCUCGCAAACUCUUCGAAUUCUGUCCACAGUGACAAAUCCGAACACCGAAUCUCGACUUGCUAGGUGCAUUUGUCUGGCGGUAGAUCAAAGAGAAACCAGUUUUCUCGCCAGUCCAGCCGCACUGCUGCUCCAGCGCGGCCGUAAUCUCGAAAUCAAAGACCAGUGCAGAC